rnacentral:rRNA from 1 species
GACGAACCGUGCAAACGUUGUUCGGAAUCACUGGGCUUAAAGGGCGCGUAGGCGGCUUGCCAAGUCAGGGGUGAAAUCUUUCGGCUUAACCGGAAAAGUGCCUUUGAUACUGGCAGGCUUGAGGGAGGUAGGGGCAUGUGGAACUUCCGGUGGAGCGGUGAAAUGCGUUGAUAUCGGAAGGAACGCCGGUGGCGAAAGCGACGUGCUGGACCUUUUCUGACGCUGAGGCGCGAAAGCCAGGGGAGCGAACGGG